rnacentral:misc_RNA from 1 species
AGGUGAACCUGCGGAAGGAUCAUUACUAGAGCAAAGGAUAGACAGCGCCCGCGGAGCUCGCUCCCGGGGGCUACCCUACUCCCGUAGGGUUUAGAGUCGUCGGGCCUCUCGGAGAAGCUCGGUCCUGAACUCCACCCUUGAAUAAACUACCUUUGUUGCUUUGGCGGGCCGCCUCGUGCCAGCGGCUUCGGCUGUUGAGUGCCCGCCGGAGGACCCCAACUCUUGUUUUUAGUGAUGUCUGAGUACUAUAUAAUAGUUAAAACUUUCAACAACGGAUCUCUUGGUUCUGG